rnacentral:rRNA from 1 species
UGGGGAAUAUUGCACAAUGGGCGCAAGCCUGAUGCAGCCAUGCCGCGUGUGUGAAGAAGGCCUUCGGGUUGUAAAGCACUUUCAGCGAGGAGGAAGGUGGUGAACUUAAUACGUUCAUCAAUUGACGUUACUCGCAGAAGAAGCACCGGCUAACUCCGUGCCAGCAGCCGCGGUAAUACGGAGGGUGCAAGCGUUAAUCGGAAUUACUGGGCGUAAAGCGCACGCAGGCGGUUUGUUAAGUCAGAUGUGAAAUCCCCGGGCUCAACCUGGGAACUACAUUUGAAACUGGCAAGCUAGAGUCUCGUAGAGGGGGGUAGAAUUCCAGGUGUAGCGGUGAAAUGCGUAGAGAUCUGGAGGAAUACCGGUGGCGAAGGCGCCCCCUGGACGAAGACUGACGCUCAGGUGCG